rnacentral:lncRNA from 1 species
CGUCCGCUAGAUGGCGCUGCUCCGUGCAUCCCGAUAGGCCCCGCCUGCCGCUGGGCGGGCGCCGGAAGGAUGGGGAAGGACCGGGAAGGACCCGGAAGGCCCUGGGGUCGCGCGUUCAGGCCGUAGCGCCGCCUCUGGGGCUGAUUCGGGCCCGCCCUGCGGCUGCGUUCGGCGCUUGGGAACUAGAGCCACUUUUCAGCUGCCGCUGGCUCCCAUCUCAGCGCUUUUGCACCGAGAGUCGGUGUUUUUGCACGCUUCUCCCAGUGUUUGACCAACUGUGCCUGGAACUGGGCCAGGGAGAGGAAGUUACAGAGGGUUUGCAAAAUAACUUCCCCUCGCUUCUGAAGGCAGGUGAGUGAGCCCAACCUGCAGUAGGAGGGACAAAGACUAGACGGCGAGAGGGAUUUUAUUUGCCUACAGACAGCAGUGUUGAGUGAGCUAGGUUAGAAACCCUCUUUUGGAGAUCUGUAAGAAUGAUAACUGCCCAGUUAGGUGCCCGGU